GUUUGUUGUCUUUAAACUGUAUUUUCCCCUAACUGUUGUAUAUAGCAGGGAGAGAGAACGGUCAUUCACAGCAGACUGAAGCCCAGGGAGAGAGAAUGAGGACCUGAGCCCUAGGACCAUGCCUCAGGAUUACCUGGCAUGAUGACUCCUUGCUGUCCCCAGUCCACCUGGCCAUGCUGCUGCUCCAGUUUCAACUGUUCUGCCUGCGGCUAUGGAACCCUGACCUGUUCGCCGGACGUGCUAUCUGUCCCAGACCUGCUGUUUUCAACUCUCUAGAGACAGCAGGAGCGGUAGAGAUACUCUUAAUGAUCAGCUAUGAAAAGCCAACUGAAAUUUACUCCUGAGGUGCUGACUUGUUGCACCCUCGACAACUACUGUGAUUAUUAUUAUUUGACCAUGCUGGUCAUUUAUGAACAUUUGAACAUCUUGGCCAUGUUCUGUUAUAAUCUCCACCCGGCACAGCCAGAAGAGGACUGGCCACCCCUCAUAGCCUGGUUCCUCUCUAGGUUUCUCCCUAGGUUCCUGCCUUUCUAGGGAGUUUUUCCUAGCCACCUCGCUUCUACACCUGCAUUGCUUGCUGUUUGGGGCUUUAGGCUGGGUUUCUGUACAGCACUUUGAGAUAUCAGCUGAUGUAAGAAGGGCUUUAUAAAUACAUUUGAUUUGAUUUGACUUGGA